rnacentral:RNase_P_RNA from 12 species
GCAGUCUGCCGGUCUGUCGCUCAUUACCUGGUAAUGGGAGGAAAGUCCGGGCAACACAGAGCACCAUAUUUCCUAACGGGAAGCUGUCCGCGAGGGCAGAGUAGCGUAACAGAAAAUAACCGUUCCGCCUGGCGGAAUAAGGGUGAAAAGGUGAGGUAAGAGCUCACCGGGUCUCGUAGCAAUACGGGAUGCCGUACGCCUUAUGGGUUGUAAGGUCAUGUAUACCGGCGCAUGUAGGAUAGCUCGUCCGAUGCCGGGGGGUAGACCGCUAGAUCGUACCGGUGACGGUAAGGCAAGAUAAAUGGCAGACACUUUCGCCCUCGGGCGGAAGAACAGAACCCGGCUUACAGGCAGACUGCAUUU